CGUUAAAACACUGGUUCAUGUCCGAUCACCAAAGUUAAGCAACAUUGAGCUUGGUCAGUACCUAGAUGGAUGACUGCUUGGGAAUACCAGAUGCUGUAAG